rnacentral:rRNA from 1 species
GAACCGUACGAACGUUAUUCGGAAUCACUGGGCUUAAAGGGUGCGUAGGCGGCCUGGUCAGUUGGGGUGUGAAAUCCCUCGGCUCAACCGAGGAACUGCGCUCAAUACUGCCAGGGCUUGAGGGGAGAUAGAGGUGAGCGGAACUGAUGGUGGAGCGGUGAAAUGCGUUGAUAUCAUCAGGAACACCUGUGGCGAAGGCGGCUCACGUGGGUCUCUUCUGACGCUGAGGCAACGAAAGCGUAGGGUAGCGGAACGGGUAUUAGACGUUAACCCCGGUAGUCCUAGCUGUAAACGAUGAGCACUAGAUCGGAGACCCUUCCACAGGAUUCCGGUCGUAGCGAAAGUGUUAAGUGCUCCGCCUGGGGAGUAUGGUCGCAAAGGCUG